rnacentral:other from 2 species
AAUUACCUAAGGAAGGCUAUUACAUAAAACCGACUAAUUGUGAUUAUUGGGAAUCUAAUUGGCUUGUUGUGUUGAAGACCUAGUCAUUGACUAGGGAUCCUAAUUCGAGUCAUGUGAUGCCCACCUCGUGAGAGCGGGCUUUUAUCACACUGGCUUUUCUUAGGCUUUUU